ensembl:lncRNA
GCCUCUCUUUCCAGAGCCACAUGGACCACCUGACAUCUCACAGGUUCUUCUACCUUCCAAGACCAGCUCAUCACCUCUGGCACCCCUCUCUAUAGUUGCCUCCCAAAGUCUCCCAUCUCAUACCCACAGCCCCCUUGGCAUCAAGCUGGACAUCUGGGAACGACCUUCAGCACCAAGUCCCCCCACCGGUCACCUGGACUUGCAAAAGUCUCCUUACUGGUAUCCCUGUUAUCCAGGAGCCAUGGUGAAUUAUUUAAAAAUUCUUUUCUUCAGCCGGAUGCAGUGACUCAUUCCUAUAAUCCCAGCACUUUGAGGCUGAGGCGGACAGAUCACCUGAGGUCAGGAGUACGAGACCAGCCUGGCCAACAUGGUUGUCUCAGAAAUGGCACUUCUGCCCUCCAGAAGCCCAGCCAGACAGUGGACAUUCCCGUGAAUGACCCGCCUUCCCCUUCCUCCCAACAGUGAACUUCUCUACACCUCACAAAAACCUCUCCAUGAUGACAAUGUGAAGCACCUGGAGCUCACACAUUGCUGGGGGAGUAUAACUAGAAUGCAAUACAGCAAUGAGAGUGGCCAGCCACUGCUACUACAUGCAGCCCCAUGGAGGACUCUCACAGAUACAACACUGAACAAAAGAGGCCAGGCACGAACAGCACAGGUGGAACUGAGGAGUCCCAACCCAGCGCAGGAAGGGCACAAGAACAUCGUCCUGUUUGUGGACUCACCUGGUAGUUACCCGCGUGUGUUCACUUUCAAUAAUUUAUUGAGGAAUAUUUUUAUGAUUGGUGCACUUUCCUGUAUGCAUGUUAUAUUUCAAAAACAAGUUUUCAUGAAAAAAAAUAAACAAACAAAUACCAAUGAUCUCUGCUGCCCCCUCCUAUCCUCCCAUGCCCUUGCCCUGUGCAGGCCAGCACUGCCUCCCCCGGGAUGGCUGCCCUGGCCUUCCUCUCCUGUAUCCACCUCCCCACAGCUCCCACUCCCACUGCAAAUCACAGCCACCAGGCUUAGCAAUAAAAGUACACUAAUGCCAAAAAAAUUGUUCACUGUUUAUCUGUAAUUCACAUUUGACUGAGGGUCCUAUGUUUGACCUGACAACUCUACUCCCGAUGUGUGUUCAACCCCCGCCUCCUGAGAGGUCUUCCUCAAAGGCAAAUUGGGCCACGUCCCUCCACUUCCCCUGUUCCCCUCUGGCCUAGGACUCACCAAACUCCUUAGUAUGAUCUUUAAGACUCUCCAUUUCCAGCCCCCGCCCGGUGUUUUCCAGUCCCAUACUCUAACUACACCAAACUUCUUCUCAUGCAUUCAUUCAUUCAAAAGAUGUUUGCUGAGUGCUCGCUGCGUGCCAGGCCCUCUUCCUAGCCGUACCGCUCCCUCUAGAGGACUGUCACUCUGCAGGUGCUGUUUUCCCUGCCUUAGGUGCCUUCCAUAGCUGGGCACCCUGAUGAACUCAUGUUCAGAAUGCAGGUCAGGCCUCCGCCUCCCCCAGGGCACACCCCCAACCUCCUGAUCUCGGUCUAUGUUAGGGGCCCCUCCCUGGGGUUUCUCUUUGUCCCAGCUCUGAGCACACCGCUUUGUCAUUGUCACUGCCUGUGUCCACACCUGUCUCCCCACCAGACUGUGACUUCAUCCUGGAUAAAGGCCAGGUCUGACUCAUCUUGGGGUCCCCAGCCCCGGCCCAGGGCCUGCAGAGGAGCUGGCACCAGGAAAGGUGCGUGCAGCACGCGGGGGAAUCAGUGAUAAAUGAGCACAGGGAGUGGAGCCCCGGAGUUUUCAAGACGGUUCUGAUUUCGGUUUCUGUCCAGUUGCUCCCAUAAGAAGCCAGCUAUGGCCAGAUCACAUGUCUCACCUGCUGGCUUAGUCUCCAUCUACAGGAGAGGCGUGGGGCCUGGGGUGUUAUAUCCUGAUGCUCCAGUUCUGUCUCUGCCUCAGGGGCUCCCUGCUCCCUCCAGUCCGCAAGCCUCAGUCCCAAAUCAGUGACGGGGUCUG